UACGAAGGGGGCAAGCGUUGUUCGGAAUUACUGGGCGUAAAGGGUGCGCAGGCGGCUCCGCAUGUCGGGCGUGAAAUCCCCGGGCUUAACCUGGGAAUUGCGUCCGAAACUAUGGAGCUGGAGUGUGGCAGAGGGAGGUGGAAUUCCACGUGUAGCGGUGAAAUGCGUAGAGAUGUGGAGGAACACCGAUGGCGAAGGCAGCCUCCUGGGCCAACACUGACGCUCAUGCACGAAAGCGUGGGGAGCAAAAGGG
rnacentral:rRNA from 1 species